AACGAACGCUGGUGGCAUGCCUUAUACAUGCAAGUCGAGCGGGAUUUAGAAGCUUGCUUCUAAUGAGAGCGGCGAACGGGUGAGUAACGGGUGAGCAAUCUACCUCCUAGUUGGGGAUAGCCCUUCUAACGAAGGAUUAAUACCGAAUAUAGUAUAGCAUCUUAUGUUGUCUAUACGAAAGGCUUCGGCCGCUGGGAGAUGAGCUCGCUUAAGAUUAGCUAGUUGGUGAGGUAAUGGCUCACCAAGGCAACGAUCUUUAGCCGGCCUGAGAGGGUGAUCGGCCACAUUGGGACUGAGAUACGGCCCAG
rnacentral:rRNA from 1 species